UUUGAUCUAUACAUGUAACUCCGAAUAAAUUGGUUGAGUGCUCUUCUUUCGUUUGUCCACUCACUCGUAUAUAUAUAUAUAUAUAUGCAUGGCAGUGUGGUAAGAAGCUUGCUUCCCAA